UACGAAGGGGGGCUAGCGUUGCUCGGAAUCACUGGGCGUAAAGGGCGCGUAGGCGGCCAUUCAAGUCGGGGGGUGAAAGCCUGUGGCUCAACCACAGAAUUGCCUUCGAUACUGUUUGGCUUGAGUAUGGUAGAGGUCGGUGGAACUGCGAGUGUAGAGGUGAAAUUCGUAGAUAUUCGCAAGAACACCAGUGGCGAAGGCGGCCGACUGGACCAUUACUGACGCUGAGGCGCGAAAGCGUGGGGAGCAAACAGG
rnacentral:rRNA from 1 species